GAUGAAGAACGCAGCGAAAUGCGAUAAGUAAUGCGAAUUGCAGAAUUCCAGUGAGUCAUCGAAUCUUUGAACGCACAUUGCGCCCUUUGGUAUUCCGAAGGGCAUGCCUGUUCGAGCGUCAUUAUCACCCCUCAAGCCCUCGGCUUGGUGUUGGACGGUUUGGUGGAGGCCCCCUCGGGGGUUCCUGCCCCUCCCAAAGACAAUGACGGCGGCCUCGUUGGACCCCCGGUACACUGAGUUCUUCACGGGACACGUAUCGGACACAUGGGUUUACGGGACACGGUCUGCCUCCCCUCAGGGAGAAUCUUUCUAAGGUUGACCUCGGAUCAGGUAGGGAUACCCGCUGAACUUAAGCAUAUCAAUAAGCGGAGG
rnacentral:misc_RNA from 1 species